rnacentral:rRNA from 1 species
GACGAACCGAGCGAACGUUGUUCGGAAUCACUGGGCUUAAAGGGCGCGUAGGCGGGCUGCCAAGUCUGUGGUGAAAUCCUCCAGCUUAACUGGAGAACGGCCGUGGAUACUGGCGGUCUCGAGGAAGGUAGGGGCAAGCGGAACUGUGCGUGGAGCGGUGAAAUGCGUUGAUAUGCACAGGAACUCCGGUGGCGAAGGCGGCUUGCUGGACCUUUUCUGACGCUGAGGCGCGAAAGCUAGGGGAGCGAAC